CAUUCACGGAGAGUUUGAUCCUGGCUCAGGACGAACGCUGGCGGCGUGCUUAACACAUGCAAGUCGAACGAUGAACCCACUUCGGUGGGGGAUUAGUGGCGAACGGGUGAGUAACACGUGGGCAAUCUGCCCUUCACUCUGGGACAAGCCCUGGAAACGGGGUCUAAUACCGGAUACGACCACUGAGGGCAUCCUCGGUGGUGGAAAGCUCCGGCGGUGAAGGAUGAGCCCGCGGCCUAUCAGCUUGUUGGUGGGGUAAUGGCCUACCAAGGCGACGACGGGUAGCCGGCCUGAGAGGGCGACCGGCCACACUGGGACUGAGACACGGCCC
rnacentral:rRNA from 1 species